AUGUAUCAAACUAUAUAUUUACAAAUAUAUAUAUUUAUUAAAGCAUCUCAUCAUUUAUAUAUUCAUAGCUGCAGUACACAUUUGUGCCAUAGUUUCCUAUCUGACACUAUAAUAUACAACAGACACGAGUCACAGUGCAUUUAUCGAACGAAUUGUUUCAGCUCAUUUUUUUCUGACAGUGAUGAUGCUUACCUUAUCUGUGAAAGAAAUAUUAUGAUAAUUAUCAUUUUUUUUGGCUCGUCGAAGAAAUUUCGUCUUAAGAUUCGCCGGUCUUGUCUCUCGGAGGUGCUCAUAGAGAUGGGCUAUGAGUGUGUGCGUUCAUAA
rnacentral:rRNA from 1 species